GACGAACGCUGGCGGCGUGCCUAAUACAUGCCAGUUGAGCGCUGAAGGCUGGUACUUGUACCAACUGGUUGAUCAGCGAACGGGUGAGUAACGCGUGGUGAAUCUGCCUUUGCGCGGGGGACAACAUUUGGAAACGAAUGCUAAUACCGCAUAAAACCUUUAAACACAAGUUUUAAGUUUGAAAUAUGCAAUUGCAUCACUCAAAGAUGAUCCCGCGUUGUAUUAGCUAGUUGGUGCGGUAAAGGCUCACCCAGGCCAUGAUACAUAGCCGACCUGCGAGGGUGAUCGGCCACAUUGGGACGGAGACAAGGCCCAGACUCCUAGGGGAGGCAGCAGUACGGAAUCUUCGGCGAGGGGCGAAAGUCGGACCGAGUGACGCAGCGGGAGAAAAGAGGGUCUGCGGAUCGUAAAACGCUAUUGGUAGAGAAGAGCGGUGGUGAGAGUGGAAAGGUGAUGAAGUGACGGUAACUAGCCAGAAAGGGACGGCUAACUACGUG
rnacentral:rRNA from 1 species